UACGGAGGAUGCAAGCGUUAUCCGGAAUGAUUGGGCGUAAAGCGUCCGCAGGUGGCUAUGUAAGUCUGCUGUUAAAGAGUCUAGCUCAACUAGAUACAAGCAGUGGAAACUACAUAGCUAGAGUACGUUCGGGGCAGAGGGAAUUCCUGGUGUAGCGGUGAAAUGCGUAGAGAUCAGGAAGAACACCGGUGGCGAAGGCGCUCUGCUAGGCCGUAACUGACACUGAGGGACGAAAGCUAGGGGAGCGAAUGGG
rnacentral:rRNA from 1 species